rnacentral:lncRNA from 1 species
CACGCCAUGCUCCCUCAGUCACUCUAUUUAUAUAUGCUCACCCGUGCUUAGCUUUUCUUUUUCCACUCCUACAUAAUCAAAAAGAAUUCAGCAAACAAAUCUCAAGAAUGUCAACAGCAAAUCUCAUCUUUAAAUUCUUCAACCACGCUCUACAAUUUAGCCGUACUAUUCAUCAUCUUUUCACACUAAUCAGCUCUCCAUAAGUUCAGUAUAAAACCAUCCUCAUUCACCUUCUUCAUCACAGCAGCAAAUCUACUCCUUCCUUUAUGCACCAAAAAUCAUAGAGAGUUUAUUUCAGCUGCAAUCUGGACCCCAAGAGGUAAGCUCAACUUAAACUUCUCCAUUUUUUUUCUUGAGUUCAGCCUGCAAUGGUUAAGCAAAAAUCCACAAUUAUGUUUCAGUUUAUUCACUCCUGAAUUCAUUAGCACAGCAGCCAACCAAGCACAAAACACACAAGGUGAUUGCUAAUCUCAUUUUACUCUAGUUCAUGCUACAUGAUUUACACCAACAAGUAUGCUUAUGUGUUAGAAAGUGAGAAUAAAGAAUUGAGAUAUAUAUGCAUAAUGGACUUAGCAAAGUCACGUUUCAGUAAUACAGAUUUACCCAUGUUAUGUAGAAUGUCCUAUGCGUUUAUGAUUCCUACUGGACUCUAAAAAUUAGAUGCUAACACAGUAGCAACCCCACAACGCCAUUAAUCCCUUGCACAUAUAGUAUGUAGAACCAAGACUUCACGCAAAUAUAAGAUGUUAACUUAGAACAUAAGAAAAAUGGAAGGGGACUAGAUUGAUGUACCUGUUCAGUCGAACCAAGGGAACGACGACGAGUCCUUGCUGCCUCGCCGGAAUAUGAGUAAAGCAGCAACGGCGAGGUGAAGAGUCAGGCCCGUCGACUCCGAGGAGGACAGCAGCGACGGCCUACUCCUCACGCAGCAGCAACCCAGAAGACAGCGAAAGAAGACCCAUCCCUUGAGUUCGAAAGCGGAAAGAACUAAGGAGGGAAUGACGUCUAUAGCCUCGGCCAAAGGCCAAGGGCCGGUGGUCGCCGCCAGAGGCGGCGGCGAACCAGGAGCGGCAGCAGCCGCUGCCGACGCUCCAGCUGGCGACGGUGGCAGCAACUCCAGACGGCGGCGACUUCCGCGGGCGAUUGCAGGCGGAGCGGCGCGGCGGCGCGACGCCGGAAUCGAGCGAAAGAGAGAGAGAUGUGAGCAGCGAUUCCUU